UACGUAGGGGGCAAGCGUUGUCCGGAAUUAUUGGGCGUAAAGCGCGCGCAGGCGGUCCUUCAAGUCAGAGGUGAAAGCCCAGAGCUCAACUCUGGAAUGGCCUUUGAGACUAGAGGACUUGGGUACGGGAGAGGUGAGUGGAAUUCCGAGUGUAGAGGUGAAAUUCGUAGAUAUUCGGAAGAACACCAGUGGCGAAGGCGGCUCACUGGCCCGUUACCGACGCUCAGGCGCGACAGCGUGGGGAGCAAACAGG
rnacentral:rRNA from 1 species